rnacentral:lncRNA from 10 species
AGCUCUUCUGCUAUGUCCUUUUCCUGUUCUCAGGUGGAAGCCAGGACCCCACAUUGCAUUCACAGUCAUGUCUCUGUAGUGUCCUCCCAUCUGUGAUGGUUCCUCCGUCUUUCUUAGCCUUUCAUGACCUUGGCAAUCUUGAAGAGUACUGGUCAGUUAUUUUGUAGAAGGUCCCUCAAUCUGGGUCUGUUGCACAUUUGCUUUGUAACAAGCACCCGAGUGCCCCUGACACAGGCUGUCCUCAGACCACGUUUUGGAAGCACUGCUUUAUACCUGGUUUUGGAUCAAGCUUUUUCCAGGUUGAUCCCCAUAUGGUUCAUAAACAUCGAAAUUCCAAAAUAUAAUCCGUCCCCAGAUUUGGGAGCUCCUCACCUUUGGAGAUAACCAAAAGCAUGUGUUCUAAGCCUUGACAUGUUUUGAACAAUUCCAGUGAACUGUACCAUGUACCAUGGCUUUCUAAAGUGACUACUUUGCAGAGAGAGACACUCCUUGGAGGCGUGACGGAAUGAUAGCUUUUUAAGGGAUGGCAGAGGGACUGGAGAGCUUACUUAAUUCUAUCUCUCUUCAUUUUACACAGAAGAAAACUGAGGCCCGUUAUAGGGGCAUGAUUUGCUCAAGGUCUCAGAACUGGUUGUUGGAAGAACCAGAAAUAGAAACCAGGUUUACUCAUUUUCAGCCUCGUGUUCUCCACCCCUCAUCCACCCCGAUUGUUGUUUAUAAGCAGUCGCUGUAUCACACCCAGCAGCAGUGAUGAGCUCAUACCCUUCCCUGGGCUGGCCCAAGGACACAAGCGGGCACAGGGCUGAGGUGGGGCUCCUCAUGGAGGUGGGCGGGGGGCAUGCUUUGCAGCCUCUGUCAUCCCCCAGUGGCGCCGCUGCUCUUGGCCACACCUGCCAUACUCAGCUCCGACCUUGCAGAGCUUGCUGCAUGGCCCCACAUUUUUAAACAGAGCUUUCUCCCAAGUUGCAGGAGCUUUUGUUACCCAGCACAGCGGUGGGGGCUGCUCAUGGUGUGCAGAGUGACUCCAACAACGAGGAAAGUGACCGGGUAAGUGUGGUAGCCUCCUGACCUGCGAAUGAAGAACCCGGAGGAUGUGGAGGCUGGUUCUACAAAGUGCCUCAGGGUGACUGCUGUUCAGAUGAACCAAAUCAUCAAUGCGCCCUUAUCUACUCUUCUUCGUCACUUUUGCUUCCUGCCACCCCCUCACAGGGGAGCUGCCUGUCCUGAGCACAGGAACCGCAUCGGAGGGAACCCAAGCUAAGCCAGGAGAUGCCUUGUUGGUGGUAUAGUGUGAAUCCAUUAGCACUGAACUCAGGACCAGCAAUGGUGUGACUCAGGCCUGAAGGAAGCUUUUCUAGCACAUGGAUUUCCUCUGUAAGGCACCUCACAGCCUCUCGUGCCUGGGAACUCUAGCCAGCACUGUAGCACGAUGCCUAGGGCCAUUAUAAAUGUGAAAUCACCAAAGAAACCCCACAAAAAUGUGAAAAUCACGGCACUAAAUAGACCACAAAAAGGAUGCUUGUUUGACUGCAAACAAGUAUGAGAACUGGAACCAGAAAGUAGGAUGUCAUCUUGUUCUUCCUUAGCACUGGAUGACUCAAAUUUCUCUCCACUCUGCCAGUGUCUUUGAAUGACCAGGAAAUUGCUGGGAAUAUUGAUUUUGGGAUAACAAAUAAAUUUUAUCGACUAG